UACAGAGGUCUCAAGCGUUGUUCGGAUUCAUUGGGCGUAAAGGGUGUGUAGGUGGCGCCGUAAGUCGGGGUGUGAAAUUUCGGAGCUUAACUCCGAAACUGCAUUCGAUACUGCGGUGCUUGAGGACUGGAGAGGAGACUGGAAAUUCAUGGUGUAGCAGUGAAAUGCGUAGAGAUCAUGAGGAAGACCAGUGGCGAAGGCGGGUCUCUGGACAGUUCCUGACACUGAGACACGAAGGCCAGGGGAGCAAACGGG
rnacentral:rRNA from 1 species